AACGAACGCUGCGGCAGGCUUAACACAUGCAAGUCGAGCGCCCCGCAAGGGGAGCGGCAGACGGGUGAGUAACGCGUGGGAAUCUACCUUUUGCUACGGAAUAACUCAGGGAAACUCGUGCUAAUACCGUAUGUGCCCUUCGGGGGAAAGAUUUAUCGGCAAAGGAUGAGCCCGCGUUGGAUUAGCUAGUUGGUGAGGUAAAGGCUCACCAAGGCGACGAUCCAUAGCUGGUCUGAGAGGAUGAUCAGCCACACUGGGACUGAGACACGGCCCAGACUCCUACGGGAGGCAGCAGUGGGGAAUAUUGGACAAUGGGCGCAAGCCUGAUCCAGCCAUGCCGCGUGAGUGAUGAAGGCCCUAGGGUUGUAAAGCUCUUUCAACGGUAAGAUAAUGACGGUA
rnacentral:rRNA from 1 species